UUUAUGGAGAGUUUGAUCCUGGCUCAGGAUGAACGCUGGCGGCGUGCCUAAUACAUGCAAGUCGAGCGAACGGAUGAGAAGCUUGCUUCUCUGAUGUUAGCGGCGGACGGGUGAGUAACACGUGGAUAACCUACCUAUAAGACUGGGACAACUUCGGGAAACCGGAGCUAAUACCGGAUAAUAUUUUGAACCGCAUGGUUCAAAAGUGAAAGACGGUCUUGCUGUCACUUAUAGAUGGAUCCGCGCUGCAUUAGCUAGUUGGUAAGGUAACGGCUU
rnacentral:rRNA from 1 species